GGCGAUGUAGCUCCUAAUUGGCAGAGCGGCUGUUUCGUAAACAGCAGGUUUGAGAGUUCGAGUCUCUCCAUCGCCU
rnacentral:tRNA from 1 species